rnacentral:rRNA from 1 species
CCUACGGGUGGCAGCAGUGAGGAAUAUUGGUCAAUGGGCGCGAGCCUGAACCAGCCAAGUAGCGUGAAGGAUGACUGCCCUACGGGUUGUAAACUUCUUUUAUAAAGGAAUAAAGUGAGGCACGUGUGCCUUUUUGUAUGUACUUUAUGAAUAAGGAACGGCUAACUUCGUGCCAGCAGACGCGGUAAUACGGAGGGUCCGAGCGUUAUCUGGAUUUAUUGGGUUUAAAGGGAGCGUAGAUGGGUUGUUAAGUAAGUUGUGAAAGUUUGCGGCUCAACCGUAAAAUUGCAAUUGAUACUGGCAGUCUUGAGUACAGUUGAGGUAGGCGGAAUUCGUGGUGUAGCGGUGAAAUGCUUAGAUAUCACGAAGAACUCCGAUUGCGAAGGCAGCUUACUAAACUGCCACUGACAUUGAUGCUCGAAAGUGUGGGUAUCAAACAGGAGUAGAUACCCCAGUAGUC